rnacentral:lncRNA from 1 species
AUAUCUGAUAGAUGCUCAUCUCUUUAUUUUGCGUGAAAUAUGACUAGACAUGUUUCGCUUUCGUGAGAUUCACCCUAUUAUAUCUAAAGCAAUGGCCUUUAUAGUUUCUGGGCCACUGUAAAGGGUUAAAACCUCUUUGGCCAGACGUCAAAUGCUCUCUGAUUCCCCACAGCGAUCAGAGGAGAGAGCUGCAUUUUUCUCUGCGAGUCUCCGGGUCCAUGUUGGCGUUGAUCUGCUCUGCUGGGUCAUUUCAGGCCACGUCUGUCCGAGCACAGGAGCAAACGCUGAUAUUACAGGGAUAUCUAAUAAAGGACAUACACACCAGACUGUGCUGCAGCUUCGAGAUUUUCACGUUGGGAGGGAUUCGUGCAGCUCAGCCCUGGCAGGACUAAAUGUUCCCACGUCGUUCUGCCUCUGCUGCUCCACACCGCUGUGGGACGACUCCGAUAUCACCAAGAACAAGAUAUCAGCGAGUCCGUGGAUGACAACAGCAUGAUGUUG